CUUAUGUCGAGUCCCUCCCAGUCUGAUUGCCAUUAGAAUCAGUCUCAGGUCGAGUCCCUCCCAGUCUGGUUGCCAUUAGAGUCAGUCUUAGGUCGAGUCCCUCCCAGUCUGGUUGCCAUCAGAGUCAGUCUCAGGUUGAGUCUGACCCCAUCUGGUUGCCAUUAGAGUCAGGUCUACUCCCUCCCAAUCUGGUUGCUUUUUGAGUCAGUCCCAGGUCUAGUCCUUCCCAAUCUGAUUGCAAUUAGAGCCCAGUCAGUCUCAGGUCGAGUCCUUCCCAAUCUGGUUGCCAUUAGAGCCCAGUCAGUCUCAGGUCGAGUCCUUCCCAAUCUGGUUGCCAUUAGAGCCCAGUC
ensembl:lncRNA